rnacentral:rRNA from 1 species
GGUUAAGCGACUAAGCGUACACGGUGGAUGCCCUGGCAGUCAGAGGCGAUGAAGGACGUGCUAAUCUGCGAAAAGCGCCGGCGAGGUGAUAUGAACCUUUGACCCGGCGAUGUCCGAAUGGGGAAACCCAGUGUGUUCCGACACACUAUCGUUAACUGAAUACAUAGGUUAACGAGGCGAACCGGGGGAACUGAAACAUCUAAGUACCCCGAGGAAAAGAAAUCAACCGAGAUUCCCCCAGUAGCGGCGAGCGAACGGGGAGCAGCCCAGAGUCUGAAUCAGCUUGUGUGUUAGUGGAAGCGUCUGGAAAGUCGCACGGUACAGGGUGACAGUCCCGUACACGAAAGCACACUUGCUGUGAACUCGAAGAGUAGGGCGGGACACGUGGUAUCCUGUCUGAAUAUGGGGGGACCAUCCUCCAAGGCUAAAUACUCCUGACUGACCGAUAGUGAACCAGUACCGUGAGGGAAAGGCGAAAAGAACCCCGGCGAGGGGAGUGAAAUAGAACCUGAAACCGUGUACGUACAAGCAGUGGGAGCACCUUCGUGGUGUGACUGCGUACCUUUUGUAUAAUGGGUCAGCGACUUAUAUUCUGUAGCAAGGUUAACCGUAUAGGGGAGCCGAAGGGAAACCGAGUCUUAACUGGGCGUUAAGUUGCAGGGUAUAGACCCG